GCAGAACGCGAAGAACCUUACCUACCCUUGACAUGCCUGGAAUCCCGCAGAGAUGUGGGGGUGCUCGAAAGAGAGCCAGGACACAGGUGCUGCAUGGCCGUCGUCAGCUCGUGUCGUGAGAUGUUGGGUUAAGUCCCGCAACGAGCGCAACCCUUGCCAUUAGUUGCUACGAAAGGGCACUCUAAUGGGACUGCCGGUGACAAACCGGAGGAAGGUGGGGAUGACGUCAGGUCAUCAUGGCCCUUAUGGGUAGGGCUACACACGUCAUACAAUGGCCGGUACAGAGGGCUGCCAACCCGCGAGGGGGAGCCAAUCCCAGAAAACCGGUCGUAGUCCGGAUCGCAGUCUGCAACUCGACUGCGUGAAGUCGGAAUCGCUAGUAAUCGCGGAUCAGCAUGUCGCGGUGAAUACGUUCCCGGGUCUUGUACACACCG
rnacentral:rRNA from 1 species